CUCUCAGAUGCAUCCAGGUGACCAAUUUUUUUUGGUCAUUUCGACCAAUUUUUUUGGUCAUUUCGACCAAUUUAAUGUCACAACCUAUACACUGCAUUAAAAUGAAGAAAAUUUGUGAGUCUUACAUCACUGAACAUGUAUACAUGGAAUUUAAUAAAAAAUCUAUCAAUACAAUAUAAUAAGACAAUUAAAUAAACUAGAGCUAUACCGGUACCUUAGAACUAUGUGAGAGCAAUUGCAAAGGAAUACAAUUACAACUGCUGUGCUGAGUGGUUAUAUUACUACCUGGAAAAAAAAACAAGCAGAAACUCAACAUUUCGAGCGAAGGGUCUUUGCUCAAAACGUUGAGUUUCUGGUGUGUUUUUUUUCAGGUAGUAAUAUAAUCACUCAGCACAGCAAUUUCACAUUGGUACUAUCCACACUGGUACUGGUACAGACAGUUUUAAUACAAUUACAAGCCUGCCAGCAUGAAUUGAACCUGCAGCCCUGCAAUUCUACUGCAGCCCUCUGACUUAAAGAGUCCUUUUGCCAAGAUGUAACCAUAACUUUCUGUAUAAUUAUACCAUGAUGGUGGUGUCACUGGUAGUAUAUUAAAUAAACUGGGAUGACACUAGUAUUGUAUAAAUGAACUCUUGGUUAGCUUGAUGGAUUCUUGGCGCUUGGACUCUCAGGGCUUGAUGGACUCUCGGCUGUUAAGCAAUUGUUCAGAAUCACAGGGCAACAGGUAUGGUGUCCCAUGUCCGCCAAAAAUCAACUUUUGCAUUUCACUAUAUGAUAUUUUGAGGAUCAUAUUCAUUUCAUUAAAAUAACAACAUUGUUUUUGAAGAUCACCGGUUUAUCGGUUGAAAACACAACUUAUUUUUUGAAGACCAACUUUUGAAGACCAACUUUUGAAGACCAACUUUUGAAGACCAACUUUUGAAGACCAACUUUUGAAGACCAACUUUUGAAGACCAACUUUUGAAGACCAACUUUUGAAGACCAACUUUUGAAGACCAACUUUUGAAGACCAACUUUUGAAGACCAACUUUUGAUACCCAACCGCAAUCCAAUGUCUUUGUUGUUCGCGGGCUCAUAUUGUGAUUUUCCGCUAAAAUCAUCUCUGUCUGAGUAACUAAACUUUUUAUAUAUUCAUUGUCUUAUUUUCCUUAUCCAUUUUGUGCAGGCCGAUGUAAAUUCAAGAAUAUGAAUUAUUCAUAUACUGUACAAUGUACAUGACAUGUAUUAAUAGUUAAUUAUGAUUCAAAAAUCAUUAAUAAUUCAGGAGGAAAACACAGAGAAAAAUCAUAAGCGUGUCGUGGUUUUAUAUGUCAUAAAAAAUCAUGUUAAUUUACAUAAACUUUAGCUUUGAUUUUCUCGGUUUAGAUAAAGUUUAUUUUAAAAAUUACUUUGCCAAUGAACUCAACUCGUAUAAGAUGAAUCGUUUUUGAAGCCAUUUAAAGCACUUGUAGUCGUGUUUUAUCACAUAUAAAUCACUCCGCUACGCGUCGUGUUUUAUAUGUCAUAAAACACUCCUACGCGUGCUUUAAAUAGUACUUUAUGACUUGGUGUUGGCGGCUCGUAUAAUAUUUUACUUGUGAUCAGGUUAGAUUGCAGAAUACCCCUCCAUUUUCUAACAUUACAUGCAAUUUUAGUUGCGAUUUUCUCCUUUUGUAAGAUGUGAAGGAGUAGAUUACAUAAACAUUUAUAACUUUAAUAUCCACUCCUUCACAUCCUCCAAAAGGAGAACAUAUUUCGAGCAGUGGCAGCAGACAUCAACUUUUAGGGGGGGGCAGGGGGAAAGCUUGUGCAGGUUUUUAAUGUCCUGUGUACCAUUUGGACUCAUAAACAGUGCCGUAGCAAGCUCGAUAAUAGGGAGCUUUAGAUUUGACUACGAAUACGACUACGAGUACGAGAUUCGUCAAGCUAAACGUAUGCUGUAUGCUUACGCCAUCCCGUACUGACGCGAAAAAGUCGUAGCCGUCGCCCAUCUGAGUACGAAAUUGUGGAGAAACCUCGUAGUCCUCACGACGACUUUUCAAAAAAACAAAGAAAGUUGGCUUUUUUUUGUUUUCCAAAAAUAAUUUGUAGCAUUUAUAUAGCGUUUAUCCGGCGCAAAUAAUAUAUUAGUACUAAAUAUCUGGCCUGUUUUUAAUGUUAUGAUUUGUUUACACGUUUUGUAGGGGAUUUUAGUCUGCAGGAGAUUUAGUUUAUGAAACUUUUUCUCUCCGUUGUUGGUUUACUGUUAUAAAAGCAACAUUUGAAUGGAAACGAAAACGACUAUGUAAUUUCCUCGCACGCGAUCAAAUCUCGUACUCGUAGUCGUACUCGUAGUCAAAUCUAAAGUUCCCUAAUUGGGGGGGGGCUGAUAUUCAUAUAUUCAUGUUCUGUGUUAUUAUUUCUUUAGAAAUCAAUUGUUUUUAUGGUCUGUGAACACAAAUAUAUGAAUAUCAGCCCCCCCCUCCCCAAUUAUCGAGCUUGCUACGGCGCUGCUAAAACCUGACUGUGUGUAAUAUAUUAGGAUAUCUAUGUUCUAGGACAAUACAUUAUCCUGUUUUUCUCUGUUUACCAAUGGGUCAUUCCAGAAAACAUCCAUACCACCCUCACGGAGGAAAUUAGAAGUUAACUCCCCUACCCCCUUCGGAUAUCCUAUUGUCUGCAUUGGUAUUCCAUUUGUUCCAUAUUGAAAAGAAUGUUAUAUGCCUCUCCAACGUUUGCACAUAUCGAAUAAUCAAGAUUCAUAUUUACUAGCAACCGUUGUAAAAAAUCAAGUUUCAGCAUAAGCUCUUGUGUAGUCUACAUUAGCGUCUCGAGACUGUGAAAAACGGUCGAUGGAAUUUAUCACAUCAAAAAUCGCCUGUAGCAAGUAUUGUUUGUCUUCUUCCUCCAUUUUGAAAACAUAAUAAAUGAGCCCGCGAACAACAAAGACAUUGGAUUGCGGUUGGGUAUCAAAAGUUGGUCUUCAAAAGUUGGUCUUCAAAAGUUGGUCUUCAAAAAAUAAGUUGUGUUUUCAACCAAUAAACCGGUGAUCUUCAAAAACAAUGUUGUUAUUUUAAUGAAAUGAAUAUGAUCCUCAAAAUAUCAUAUAGUGAAAUGCAAAAGUUGAUUUUUGGCGGACAUGGGACACCAUAAACAGGUUCCAUUCCCGGCACAGUACUUAUUACAUAGUUAUUGUUCAAAAUUUCCAUCUACAGAAAUUUGGCUUUAACCCAUUGAGUGGCAACACUCUCUCCUUCAUGAGUAAAAUUGUCUGGCAUUAGACAGAAAAAAUAAUAAGGUAGAGCCCAUUGCCACAUAAAAGGUUAACAUUCUCUUCAAUGUAGAAUAUUUACAAGUUAGUAUAAUAUACCUGUACUGCAUGUAAUGUUGUCACUGCUCAAUCAAGCAUGUCAUACAAGUCCAUUAGUUAAAAUUUAAAAGUACAAGCUUCAUACCACAAGUCAGCAACUCCAUUCCUUGUCAGGUUUGUUAAUCCAUAAACAUAUACUCUCCAGCAAAAGAAUAACAUUUUCCAAAUAGACUAUGCAGUACUUAAAAUGCCAUUAAUGAUUAUAUAUAAAUUGCCACUUGUUUAGACAACUUGCCUUCUGCUGGGAAACUUUUAUUAAUAACUUUUCAUUCAGGAUCAGGAUAUAUAAUGAAUCCAUAUUAAAUACAAUCUCU